GUUUAUCUUCUACAUGUCGUUCAACCAUCAUAAAGUGAAAACUGCCAUAACACAAAAAAUUGUUUUAAUGCUUUUUUAUUAAAUUCACCACACUAAUGUCCUAGCGACAGGUUCCAAAUGUGCCUUAUUCUCAGUUUCAGCAAAUAGAGUUAAUUCUAGUAUAAGGUCGGAGAACAUAGUACAGAAGUUAAGAAACAGAAAACAGAAUUAAAGACUAGAAAUAAAACAACAAAAACAAGAGCUUACUAUUCUUUGAAAUAAAAAUGGUUUACUUUUACUUUUUUUUAGAGAGAGCACAAGCUAGAGAGAUGGGCAGAGAGAGAGAGAAAAUCCCAAGCAGGCCCCACACUCAGUGCAGAGCUUGACCCUGGGCUUGAACUCAUGAAACCAUGAGAUCAUGACCUGAGCUGAAAUCAUGGAUGCUUAACCGACUGGGCCACCCAGGUGCCCCAAAAUAGUUCACUUUUAGAUUAAAGCAGAUGUACAAAAAACAAAAAUAUAACUGUUACUUGUACCAAUAAAGUAAUCGUGAACCACAGUAAAUAAUUUGCGGACAUGUGUGAAAUGCUAUUUUAAUUUAGAAAAGCAAGGAUAUCACCCACAACAUUUUCAUUGUUGCAACGUUACAUCAAAUUUCUCAUCUUCAAUUAUCUUAAUGAUAAUAGAGUUUAAUAUAAAUAGAGUUUAAUAUAAAAUGGAUCUGCGACCAAAGAUGUUUUAAAACAACUAAUGAAGGAGAUAAUAAACCUGCGAGGAACCAAAGGGUCCUCACCACCAGUGGCUACUUUGGCUCCCUCUUUGUUGCCAGCUACAUUUCACAGCUCUUUUUUUAAAAUUUUUUUUUUUUUCAACGUUUAUUUAUUUUUGGUACAGAGAGAGAUAGAGCAUGAACGGGGGAGGGGCAGAGAGAGAGUGGGACACAGAAUCGGAAACAGGCUCCAGGCUCCGAGCCAUCAGCCCAGAGCCUGACGCGGGGCUCGAACUCACAGACCGCGAGAUCGUGACCUGGCUGAAGUCGGACGCUUAACCGACUGCGCCACCCAGGCGCCCCACAUUUCACAGCUCUUAACGAGGAAUGAGAUGAUUCAUCAGUGUGAGUAAGGGAAAACAAGACUACUUCACUGAAGAACCAACCAACCAGAAAGUACAUGUGGGGCAGGUUAGGGGGUAAGUCACUGUCCAACUGGACACACUAUGGCUUUACGCAUCAGAACCGUACAAUGGCGACUGAACAUGAUACCAGAUCAGAAGAUGUUCCGUUCCCGAGUUCUGAUUCGUAGGAGCUUCCAAAGUAGAGCCGGUACAUAUUGAAUUUUGAUUCAUCUGGAAGCAUCUCAGACAACUCUAGAGAAACCAGGGACUGCUCCAAGCCACACUCCCCAUCUCCAGCUGAAUCAUCGGAGCCGCUGCUGUGGUUGAGAAAAACCAUUGAAGACAGACUUAGGUCACUAUCAGAGCUGGAACUUCCAUCCUAAAACACACAAAAGGACAACAGUUGUAAAAAUCUAAAUAAUCUAUGACUCUGAAAUUAGCAACACAGAUAGC
rnacentral:lncRNA from 1 species